GAUGAGUAUUUUAAGCGCUUGAGAGAACUCAGGAGGAGGAACUCGGCAAAUUGACACCGUAACUUCGGAAGAAGGUGUGCCCUAUUAGUGUGAAGUGAACAACGGAGCAUGAAUGGGUUGCAAAAAAUCGGUGGCUGCGACUGUUUAUUAAAAACACAGCACUCUGCAAACACGAAAGUGGACGUAUAGGGUGUGACGCCUGCCCGGUGCUGGAAGAUUAAAUGAUGGGAUGCAAGCUCUUGAUUGAAGUCCCAGUAAACGGCGGCCGUAACGAUAACGGUCCUAAGGUAGCGAAAUUCCUUGUCGGGUAAGUUCCGACCUGCACGAAUGGCGUAACGAUGGCCACACUGUCUCCUCCUGAGACUCAGCGAAGUUGAAAUGUUUGUGAUGAUGCAAUCUCCCCGCGGAAAGACGGAAAGACCCCAUGAACCUUUACUGUAGCUUUGUAUUGGACUUUGAACAGAUCUGUGUAGGAUAGGUGGGAGGCUUUGAAGCAGGGUCGCUAGAUCUUGUGGAGCCAACGUUGAAAUACCACCCUGGUGUGUUUGAGGUUCUAACCUAGGUCCAUUAUCUGGAUCGGGGACAGUGCAUGGUAGGCAGUUUGACUGGGGCGGUCUCCUCCCAAAGCGUAACGGAGGAGUUCGAAGGUACGCUAGUUACGGUCGGACAUCGUGACGAUAGUGCAAUGGCAUAAGCGUGCUUAACUGCGAGACUGACAAGUCGAGCAGAUGCGAAAGCAGGACAUAGUGAUCCGGUGGUUCUGUAUGGAAGGGCCAUCGCUCAACGGAUAAAAGGUACUCUGGGGAUAACAGGCUGAUACCGCCCAAGAGUUCAUAUCGACGGCGGUGUUUGGCACCUCGAUGUCGGCUCAUCUCAUCCUGGGGCUGUAGCCGGUCCCAAGGGUAUGGCUGUUCGCCAUUUAAAGAGGUACGUGAGCUGGGUUUAAAACGUCGUGAGACAGUUUGGUCCCUAUCUUCCGUGGGCGCUGCAGAUUUGAGGAAGCCUGCUCCUAGUACGAGAGGACCGGAGUGGACACACCUCUGGUGUAUCGGUUGUCACGCCAGUGGCAUUGCCGAGUAGCUAAGUGUGGAAGAGAUAACCGCUGAAAGCAUCUAAGCGGGAAACUCGUUUCAAGAUGAGAUCUGCCGGGGCCUCGAGCCCCCUGAAGAGUCGUUCAAGACCAGGACGUUGAUAGGUCGGGUGUGGAAGCGCAGCAAUGCGUUAAGCUAACCGAUACUAAUUGCUCGUGCGGCUUGACC
rnacentral:rRNA from 1 species